UCGAACAAGCCCAUCAUCUUUUAAGAAGCGACAAUGAGGUGAACACUAAUGGUUGCAACAGCUGUACGGGUGAAUUUAGCACAAUACCGUUUAACGAGACAUCAGCUGGCAAUAAUAAGGGUGCUGCCUUUUGAGGCAGAAUUUGUAGGCAGUACGUCAAAAUUGGCAUGUCCCAAUCCUGUGUAUCCUUUGACGGGGAGGCUAUCCCAUAACACCUUGCGGUGAAUUAAUGGUUGGCAGAAGUCCACCGCUUGGGAAAACAUUUUCCAGAACAAUAAGGAAUAACUUUUGAAAUGGACUAAAGUGGACAACUGAUCGCAUUUCCCUCCAUUGCAUUGGCUUGGCAGGAAAAAACAGUCCUGCCCGAUUCUUUUGGAGGCAAGACAUUUUAACGGCUGAUGAAAAACGUGGAAGGACAUGACACCCUGCAGAUGUAAAGAACGUGUGAACCUCCCAACCACCAUGAUAGUCACCAAUGGAUGUAGCUUACAUUAGGAUGAAGUAGCCUAGGCCUUCUAAUCUAGUUUCCAUCAUAUCACCUUUCAAUAUUWCUUACCAACGAAUAUAAAAGCAUAUCUUCAACAUCGGUCUAAUUUAAUAAUAUACAUGGGUGUGAUAGUUGUAUGAAUUAAUCCCAGUGCAAGCCUACUCAUUAUUUUAAAAAAAAGCAUGAUUAGCUCUAAUGCAAUAUUAGCUUCACAGUGAAACACCACUAUUCUGGCUAUUAAUCAUUCUUAAACAGUCAGUAAAAUAGAUUAUUUAGCCAUCUCAAAAAAAUUGUAGCCUGUAUGAUAUCAUGCAUGCAAGCUUACCUGGCAUGUCCACAACGAUGCAGCAGCAGACCAAGCAAUAUGCUAGAGGACCCUAUACUGUAGGAUAAUUAUUCUGGUAGGUGUCAACAUUCAUUCAUUAGGUACCGAGGAGAUCGAUAUUGUUACUUGUUUACUUGUUAUUCAUGUCAGAUAUUUCCAUUUUGGGAUAGUUGUUCACUGAAUUGCUCAUCCUGCUACAGUGGCUA